rnacentral:rRNA from 1 species
UGGGGAAUAUUGGACAAUGGGCGAAAGCCUGAUCCAGCAAUACCGCGUGUGUGAAGAAGGCCUUCGGGUUGUAAAGCACUUUAAGUUGGGAAGAAAAAGCUUCACCUAAUACGUGAAGCCUUGACGGUACCGACAGAAUAAGCACCGGCUAACUCUGUGCCAGCAGCCGCGGUAAUACAGAGGGUGCUAGCGUUAAUCGGAUUUACUGGGCGUAAAGCGUGCGUAGGUGGUUUGAUAAGUCGAUUGUGAAAGCCCCGGGCUUAACCUGGGAAUUGCGGUCGAUACUGUCAGACUCGAAAACGGUAGAGGGAGGUGGAACUCCAGGUGUAGCGGUGAAAUGCGUAGAUAUCUGGAAGAACACCGAUGGCGAAGGCAGCCUCCUGGGCCUGUUUUGACACUGAGGCACGAAAGCGUGGGUAGCAAACAGGAUUAGAUACCCUGGUAGUCCACGCCGUAAACGAUGAGAACUUGACGUUGGUUUGCUUAGCAAAUCGGUGUCGUAGCUAACGCGAUAAGUUCUCCGCCUGGGGAGUACGGCCGCAAGGUUG